UUGUGACGUCGGAGUCACGUGGGUACUGGAUUGCGAGAAGAACUUCCUGGAGUCCAGAAUUGUGGUGAAGAUAGGAAUUGUACUGAAACAAAGGUUCAUGACAGAGACACAGAGGAAAGCAUUUUAGCUCUGUGAAGUGCCUGCCUUCAUGAACAGAAUUGUCAGCCCAGAACUCGUUUGAUGGACCACCUUUGCUUAAGCAAGAGGCUGCACAAUAUUUUAAGAACCAAAGAAAAACAGAUGGUGAUCUUAUGCCAAAUAUCAAAGAAAUGCAGAGGGUCAGAGAAAUUAAACCUUUGUAGAAAGCCAAGGUUGAUAUAACAUGUAUAGGAAAUAAUUUCUCCUCUAUUAACCUUAUGCCAAACUGAAACAGAAUUCCAUUCAAAUAGAACCGUCCUUUCUGGUAUGUCUGUAACUGCAAGGCUUUACAACUCCAUCUUAGCGAAGAAGAUACUCAGUUUAAAGAAAACUAAUUUCAGCGUGUUAAUUUUCAGUUCUCAAAAAAUUGUUGUUUGCUUGCUUUGUUCCUCUCUCAAUAUUCUUAAGUAGUCAAGGAAGACUUUAGAAGUAAAUGUAUUUUGAAAAGCUGUGUAAUCAAUGAAUUAAAUUUCUGAGGAAACCAUUUGGUGUAUAAGUGAAGCCACUAAGAGACUUAAGGUUGUCAGAGUACACACACACACACACACACACACACACACACACACACACACACACACAGACACACACACACAGAAACAAUACUUUCUGAAUUAAACCGAAUUAGAGAUUCUAUAUACUGGAACCAAACAUGACUGACAAUGUGUUCUGUCAGUGUUUCCAGGGGAGACAACCACUAAUUCCCAUUCACCUCAGACUGGCACCAAUGCCGACGAUUUCAAAGUCCAACUCGGUGAGAAAUAUAAGUAACUUACAUACUCGGCAGAUACGUGAUUAGAGAAGCUUGAGUGAUGCCACCAGGAAGACAACAGUAACUAUACUAUGGCCCAG